GAGGAUUUGAGAAGAGGUUGCAGAUGAUCAAGGAGCGACACGUGCAGGGAUGGCUUGAAAAGGGUGAUUAGCUUCAGGUUCCAGGUGGGACCUAGUGGUAACUGAGUUGCAGGUAUUCCAUGACAGAGCUCCUUCUGCCUGGGCUGCUUUUUGGGCCUUGGAGAGAUGAAGUCCCCAUGGUGUGGAGUGGUGCAAAAAGGUAAGAGGGUUGUCAGCCCGGUCAGUUUUCUUCACCAAUGCUAAGGCAAGUCUUUGAAGAGAAACAGCCUGGUUGCUUGUGCUGCACCCUGUUGAACUAAGCCAGACCAAAACCAGGGCUGCCGUUCCUCCUGCUCUCUUUACCUCUUCUCAUCUUGCAAAGGAAUGGUCCAGCAAUUCGGGUUAAUAGGGGACAAGAGAACAAAGGGGUUUCAGAAUAACUGCUAACUGUUAUGACUAUUGCAUGGGGCAC